GAGGGAAAGGCGAAAAGAACCCCGGCGAGGGGAGUGAAAAAGAACCUGAAACCGUGUACGUACAAGCAGUGGGAGCCCCACCACUAAGCCAGUGGUGAACUCCACAUACGCAUCCUUUGCUGAGGAUACGGUUAACGGAGCGAAAGCGACGUUCAACCGCAAAAGAAGCAGAGGGGGCUUAGUGGUGGGGUGACUGCGUACCUUUUGUAUAAUGGGUCAGCGACUUAUAUUCUGUAGCAAGGUUAACCGAAUAGGGGAGCCGGAGGGAAACCGAGUCUUAAUUGGGCGUUAAGUUGCAGGGUAUAGACCCGAAACC
rnacentral:rRNA from 1 species